rnacentral:rRNA from 1 species
CACGUAGGGGGCAAGCGUUGUCCGGAUUUAUUGGGCGUAAAGAGCUCGUAGGUGGUUCGGUAAGUCGGGUGUUAAACCCCCAGGCUCAACCUGGGGACGCCACUCGAUACUGCUGUGACUUGAGUCCGGUAGGGGAGCGUGGAAUUCCUGGUGUAGCGGUGAAAUGCGCAGAUAUCAGGAGGAACACCAGCGGCGAAGGCGGCGCUCUGGGCCGGUACUGACACUGAGGAGCGAAAGCGUGGGUAGCAAACAG